rnacentral:rRNA from 1 species
AGUGAACGCUGGCGGUAGGCCUAACACAUGCAAGUCGAACGGCAGCACAGUAAGAGCUUGCUCUUACGGGUGGCGAGUGGCGGACGGGUGAGGAAUACAUCGGAAUCUACUUUUUCGUGGGGGAUAACGUAGGGAAACAUACGCUACUACCGCAUACGACCUACGGGUGAAAGCAGGGGAUCUUCGGACCUUGCGCGAUUGAAUGAGCCGAUGUCGGAUUAGCUAGUUGGCGGGGUAAAGGCCCACCAAGGCGACGAUCCGUAGCUGGUCUGAGAGGAUGAUCAGCCACACUGGAACUGAGACACGGUCCAGACUCCUACGGGAGGCAGCAGUGGGGAAUAUUGGACAAUGGGCGAAAGCCUGAUCCAGCCAUACCGCGUGGGUGAAGAAGGCCUUCGGGUUGUAAAGCCCUUUUGUUGGGAAAGAAAAGCAGCAGGUUAAUACCCCGCUGUUCUGACGGUACCCAAAGAAUAAGCACCGGCUAACUUCGUG